GUUUACUACAGUAGUAUCUAAGAUACUGUGUUUUUUUCAUAGUACUAAGAAUGCAAAAUAAGUUAGUUUUCCAAGACAGGUCUCUUAAAUAAGCCCUCAGCGUCUGCAUGCAAUCAGAACAACAAACUCAUUGGGCUGUGACUGAUGAAUUCAUCUUCAUCAGUUUUCAUGGUUUUUAAAAUCUGUAUUGCUGGACUAUUUUAGGAUGGGAAUUUCAGUAACUGCUAUGCCUUAAGAAUCAUCGCUAAACUAGGAAUUGAACCGCAACAGGUCUGCAAGGCUUUGUGUUUGCUGCCUGCUUGGGGUCUCUGCUGGUCUUCAGGCUUCUGGACAGCUUGGUGAACAUUAUGAAAGAAAUGAAAAGGAAGAGUCUAGAAAGCCAUUGUUUUCCAUAUCUUACUACAUUGGCUUAAUAAACCCAGUUAUGAAAUGCUUGUUUUCUGCUCAUCAUCCUGGCCUCUGCUCCUCAUGGGUGUCUCACUGGCAUUUUCCUCAUCCUUCUUCAAAUAUUGACCACAAAGCUCAACCUAGAGGUAUUUUCCUCUGCUAAAU
rnacentral:lncRNA from 1 species